GAAAAAAAAAUAAUAAUAAAACAAGUUCUAUGAUUACAUUUAUUUUUAUAAGUAAUGAUAAUUACGUAACUUGAAGUGUAAUUGAUUUCAUCAUGUAAUUGUCAUUUCAUUAUAUUAAAUUUUUUUGUGUCACCAAACGAAGUAAUCAAAUAUGACCGAUUACAUUAUAUCUUUGAUGACAUCAUACUAAACACGGCCCAAGUUUUUUAAGCAUAGAGAUGAAACAGUAGCUGAUAUUGGAUUUUAGCUUAUAUUCCUUAAGUUAAGAAUUUUUCUUGCUUCACUUUAUCUCUCUCUGAUUGUUUGUGUGCAGUUUUGUAUUAUUUGAUUUCACGUUUUUUACGGUGUGCUUCUUUUUCUGUUAUUCAGAGGUGGUUGUGAGCCCUCCAUUU
rnacentral:misc_RNA from 1 species